GAUGAACGCUGGCGGCGUGCCUAAUACAUGCAAGUCGAGCGAAUGGAUUAAGAGCUUGCUCUUAUGAAGUUAGCGGCGGACGGGUGAGUAACACGUGGGUAACCUGCCCAUAAGACUGGAUAACUCCGGGAAACCGGGGCUAAUACCGGAUAACAUUUUGAACCGCAUGGUUCGAAAUUGAAAGGCGGCUUCGGCUGUCGCUUAUGGAUGGACCCGCGUCGCAUUAGCUAGUUGGUGAGGUAACGGCUCACCAAGGCAACGAUGCGUAGCCGACCUGGGAGGGUGAUCGGCCACACUGGGACUGAGACACGGCCCAGACUCCUACGGGAGGCAGCAGUAGGGAAUCUUCCGCAAUGGACGAAAGUCUGACGGAGCAACGCCGCGUGAGUGAUGAAGGCUUUCGGGUCGUAAAACUCUGUUGUUAGGGAAGAACAAGUGCUAGUUGAAUAAGCUGGCACCUUGACGGUACCUAACCAGAAAGCCACGGCUAACUACGUGCCAGCAGCCGCGGUAA
rnacentral:rRNA from 1 species